rnacentral:lncRNA from 1 species
GUUUGAGCCGGGGAGAUGAUCAGCUUGGCUUUGGUCCUUCUUCCUGUUUAAGGGCUGUGAUGGAUUCCCUUUUGUCCUUGUGUGGGUUUUUCAGUUUGGGAAUGUGUUUAGGAAAACAGUGAACUGUGAACUUCUUCUGACAGGGUAACAUUUAGAAAUAUGGAUUUCCUGGGAGUUUUGAAAGGCUGGAUUUGAUUGGAGAGGUCUAGUGGAGGUACCAGAACACUCAAGUGCAAUGAUUUUCUUUCAGCACCUGAGUUUGAACAGAAACCUGACCCCUGUCCUGCUGACAGAGGUUUAUCAAGCAUAUCUUAGUGGGAGCUGCUGCAGGCAGAGCACACGUUCUUCUGGACAAACUCCUGACCUUCAGCCCUUUCUGUCUGGAAAUCCUUGCAGUUAUACCUGUGGUGAAUUAAUCUCUUCAUUAGCUUCGUCUGAGUGCUCAAGAAAAUGGAUCCCUCAGCUGGCGCCGUGUGGGGAGGUUUUGGAGUAG